GUGCACCACUCCCACGGUGCGCCAUUAGUAAAAAAAAAUUAAUUUUUUUCAAAACUACUAAUGGCGCACCGUGGGAGUGGUGCGC
rnacentral:pre_miRNA from 1 species